AAAUACUAUUAUUGGUAGGUAUAGUCGGGUCAAAACCCUAGAUAUUAUAUUAGCGUCAUCGCUCGCCCUUAUAGAACCUGCUGUCGCUUAUCUGCAAAUCUUUAAGAUUCAACCCUCAAGAAUUUCGUCUGUGAGCUUCUUCCUUUUCUUUAAAGCCUAUCAUCAAAUUCAGAAUGGCUGGUCAGCGAAGCAACUAUGGCAAGCGAUCUCAUUCUCAGUCUGACUACUCCGAAAGUGGGGGAAACAAAAGAAGAAAUUCCGGAAAUGAUAAAGACCCAUUCUCUAUUGGGCCCGAUGAUACUGCGUACCGUUACCUGUGCCCAGGAAAGAAGAUUGGAAGUAUUAUUGGAAGAGGAGGGGAGAUUGUCAAGCAACUACGAGUAGAAACAAAAGCAAAGAUCAGAAUUGGUGAGUCUGUGCCAGGAUGUGAAGAAAGAGUUGUCACUAUAUACAGUUCUAGCGAGGAAACAAAUGAUUUUGAAGGAGCGGAUGGCCGUGUAUGUCCUGCUCAAGAUGCCCUUUUUAAGGUGCAUGAGAGAAUUGUUGCUGAUGAUGCUGCAGUAGAGGAGGACUCAGAAGACGUCCCACAAGUCACUGUUCGACUUCUAGUACCAUCUGAUCAGAUUGGGUGUAUCAUUGGAAAGGGUGGACAGAUAGUUCAAAACAUUCGCAGUGAUACUGGGGCACAGAUUCGCAUUGUAAAGGAUGAUCAUUUGCCAACGUGUGCGUUGAGUUCAGAUGAACUCGUACAGAUAUCUGGUGAUGCUUCUGUGGUGAAGAAAGCUCUUUAUCAGAUUGCAUCCCGACUUCAUGACAAUCCAUCUCGAUCUCAGCACCUGCUUUCUUCUUCUGUUCCUACUGUCUUCAGUUCUGGUAGUUCGGUUUUAGGGGCGGCUGCUGGUGCUCCUAUAAUGGGAUUAACUCCACUGAUAGGGCCCUAUGGAGGGUACAAGGGUGAGAGUGCGGACUGGCCUCGGUCUCUGUACUCAGCUCCAAGGGGUGACACAUCUUCAAAAGAUUUUUCACUUCGUUUGGUUUGCCCGACCGCUAAUAUUGGAGGUGUCAUCGGCAAGGGUGGCAUGAUAAUUAAUCAAAUACGACAAGAUUCUGGGGCAGUUAUUAAAGUUGAUAGUUCAGCUGCUGAGGGAGAUGAUUGUGUGAUAUCUAUCUCUGCAAAAGAGGUUUUUGAAGAUUCAUUUUCUCCAGCAAUAGACGCUGCUCUGCGCUUGCAGCCCAGGUGCAGCGAGAAAGUUGAAAGAGACUCUGGUCUUGUUUCAUUCACCACACGACUACUUGUUCCUACUUCUCGAAUUGGCUGUCUUAUUGGGAAAGGAGGGUCCAUAAUUUCAGAGAUGAGGAAAGUCACAAAGGCCAAUAUCCGCAUACUCUCCAAAGAAAAUCUGCCUAAAGUUGCCUCUGAAGAUGAUGAGAUGGUGCAGAUUUCUGGAGACCUUGAUGUUGCUAAAGACGCUCUUAUACAAGUAACUUCACGCUUGAGGGCCAAUCUCUUUGAAAAGGAAGGUGCUGUUUCUACUUUUCUGCCUGUUCUCCCAUAUCUUCCUAUGUCAACAGAUGGUGGAGAAAACUUGAAGUAUGAAAGUAGAGAUACUAAGAGCCGUGGACGUGGGUAUUCUUACUCUGGUGGAUAUGGUGGUUCUACUGAUUUGCCUCCUGUGGAUCCCUAUGGUAGCUAUGGUGGUGUUCAGAGUGGUAGUGGCAGCUCUGCUUAUGGUGCUUAUGGGAGUUAUUCAUCUAGUCGUUCUGUUGGUUCUGGGUUAUCUGGGCGAAACCCUGUUUCACGUGGGAGAACCUAUGACUACUAAAGGAGGUUAUUAAAAUUGCAGUGAAUCUUUAUGGUAAUGCUUGUUUUGAUCAAUAUUAUUCUCAAGAUGUAAAUGCCAGAAGAGGUAAAAUAUGCUGUGGGUGAAGGAUCUCAGUGAUAGUGACCAAAGCAGAAGGGAACCAGUAAUUAUCAAUGGUGUGCUUGAUUGGAAGAACAGUAUGGAUGUCGCUCGGUCUGGUGGUUUAAUGGAUUAUGGCUGGCUGUGCAGGAACCAGGUAAUUUCACCUUAAAUUUUAGUAUCAAUUUUUUGUGUGCUUUUCGCAGGUGUCCUUGCGGAAUACAGUUUUCUAGGUAUGAUGUGUGCUAUAACAACGGUGCAAAUCCAUAAUAUUCGCAGCACUCUCAUAGGUCUGCUAUCCUCAUGUCUAAAAGCCAUGUCUCUAGUAUUUUUAUGCUUUUGGUUUCUUAUUAUAUUUUAUGCAUCCAGGUGCUUUUUUCUAUGUGAGUGUGCCUGUUAGUUGGGAUGCUUUGCAAGUUUGCAUGCACACACCUCCACUUUUUAGAAAUAUAAUUGUUCAAUCUUUAAGGCGGUGCCUUCUUGUAUCCUCUAGCUAGAUUGUUAUUGGGGUUGGGGAGUCAUCAUCUGGAUGAUGGAAAUUGUGUUUUCCAUUUGAUUUAGCAUGCUAUGUUAAUGCCCAUAUGUUCGUCUUGGACUCCAUACUCCAUAUGGAUUCAUAUCUUUGAGGAAAGAAGUUGCCAACGAAGUUGGAGCAUGGAAACAGUUCAGAACCUCUUAAGUUCAAAUAGGGUUUUACUAGCACAGGGCAGUUUCAGGUGGGAUUUGAUAGGAAAUUUUAAGAACAAAAAGGCCACAUGAAUAUUGGAAUAAGCAUUUGGUAAUAUUAUUUUGCCCCUGGUUUUCCGUGGCUCUGGGUACAA